rnacentral:rRNA from 1 species
UGGAGAGUUUGAUCCUGGCUCAGGACGAACGCUGGCGGCGUGCUUAACACAUGCAAGUCGAGCGGUAAGGCCCUUCGGGGUACACGAGCGGCGAACGGGUGAGUAACACGUGGGUGAUCUGCCUCGUACUCUGGGAUAAGCCUGGGAAACUGGGUCUAAUACCGGAUAUGACCAGGGAGUGCAUGCUCUUUGGUGGAAAGAUUUAUCGGUGCGAGAUGGGCCCGCGGCCUAUCAGCUUGUUGGUGGGGUAAUGGCCUACCAAGGCGACGACGGGUAGCCGGCCUGAGAGGGCGACCGGCCACACUGGGACUGAGACACGGCCCAGACUCCUACGGGAGGCAGCAGUGGGGAAUAUUGCACAAUGGGCGGAAGCCUGAUGCAGCGACGCCGCGUGCGGGAUGACGGCCUUCGGGUUGUAAACCGCUUUCGACAGGGACGAAGCGAGAGUGACGGUACCUGUAGAAGAAGCACCGGCCAACUACGUGCCAGCAGCCGCGGUA